UUGGGGGCGAAGACACUUCCGGGAGCUAGGGCUGGGUUGGGGGGCUGUGCCUGCAGCUUGGGACAUUUAAAGGGCAAAUUCAUGUUAUCUGUCCCAGCCAGCCCAGGGAACACCGUGUCACUGCCGCAUGUGGACCGCUGUAUUUAUAGCUCAAGAGGGUUUAGCCUGGGGCUGAGCUGGGGACCGAGCUAGGGACCGAGAGGGGGCCCGAUGCCUCAAGCGAAGCUCUCUUUGACCUCGAUUCUGCACGAUUGUGCUCCUGGCGGAGAGAUUUCAGGCUGCCACCCCUUCCUCCUUGUCAGGGCGUUCCCAACUAGAGCUCGCUGCCUGGAUUCGGUCCUCUGCAGAGCUCUGCGUUCCUGCAAAGAAAUUAUGCUCCUCCCAAAUGCAUACUAACAUCUUUCUAUGCCGCGAUUGCCUCAUAAUGUCGGUCAAGCUCCUGUCUCCGACUUCCCUCCAUUCAAUCCCUGAACCAUUCCAUCUGUUAGGAAAUAUUUAUGCAGCCGGCACUCGGCGCCAUCAGAAAAAAGCGGAAAAAAAAAAAAGCGGAAAGCAGGGCCGCUAGGUGGAUACUUGUUUUGGCAAUGAAUGUGGAUGUGUGACUUUUCUGUUAACUCAGCCUGUCACACCGACACCAAACCUGAGGACUCCUAAGAACAAGACACUCCUUCAUUAGCCUCUCAUCCAUCUCUCAGCUCCCGGGAUUCUCUUGUAGACAGAACUCUGAAGGGCUUUGAAGGAGCGCUCUGCUGUUAAUGGAAUCUCAACCAUAUUCUGAGUAGAAGGGUUCCAGUUGGCUGGCUGCUUCCUGAGGAUUAGAGCCCUCAGCCUUUCGGGAAGGUCGAAUCCUUGGCUGUGUUUGCUUCUGUAAUAGGCAGCUUGAGGCUGGGGAGCCCAGACGCUAUCUAAUCCCGGGAAAGUGAUUGCAAUUAAUUUUUUAAAUAUAUGGGUGUGCAAUUUAGUUUCCUUUACCUCGUUUCUAAGGCAGUUCAAAUAUAACCAUGCAGAUUUUUUCCAUACUGCUGUCUCUUCCUCAAGAAUAAGUGCAAUUAGUUGUUUUGUUGUUGUUGUUGUUUUAAACUCCAAGCCCCUUACUCUGUUCUAUUCCCACAGCUGCUAAUCUACCUUUGGACAUUUACAAGGCUUAUUCAUUUUUUUUAAAUGUUUACUGAUCCAUGCAGACUCCACGGGAUCCCGAAAUAGAAUGGAUACAUUGAGUAUUUGAAAGGUUUUGUAGUUCUACUAUGUAUUCAACAAUUGUUCUUGGGCCACUUAAAUCGCUCAGGAGGUCAAGACAUCUGCUGCCAAACCUGAUGACCUGAGUUUGAUCCCUACGCCCAACAGGAUGGAAGAAGAGAACUGACACCCUCCAGAUUCACCACCACCAUUGAGAAAUUGGGCCCAUACAUACAUAAUGUCUUAUUUCUCAAAUCCUCCUCCAACGUUGGCCUAAAAAGACCAUCUUUUAGUUAUUAGUGGCAUUUCAUGAGUUUGUGAUGAAUUUAUGUAUAUGCUAUAUGAUGCAUUUUAACUUGGCAGAAUUUUCUUGUCUUUUUUUUGGGGGGGGGACUUUUAGUCUUCCUUGACCACUGACACAAAAGCACAGUAUUUAUUUUAACAAUUGAGACAAUAAACAUUUGAGUAAUUUUCAUUUUGUUUCUCAUUUGAUUCUUAUUUUUGUUUUAUAUUGUCCUAUCAGUAUUAUUUAUUUAGAUAAAAGUGAAUUACUAUUUUUUUGUUUGUUUUUGCUUUUGUUUUUUGAGACAGGGUUUCUCUGUGUAGCUUUGCGCCUUUCCUGGAACUCACUCUGUAGCUCAGGCUGGCCUCGAACUCACAGAGAUCCACGUGGCUCUGCCUCCAAGUGCUGGGAUUAAAGGCGUUCACCAUCACCGCCCAAAAAAUGAAUUACUAUUAUAAAUAUUAUAUUACAAAUAUUAUUUAUAUUAUAAUAAUAUUUUCUAUAAAUAGAUUAUUGACUCUUCAUAGGUAUACUAGUAUGUUUUCUUCUACUUUGGAAAAAAAAAACAUUUUCAGUUAUUUUUAAGGUGUCUAACACAUGUUUGGACCUGAAGGUGCACACCUUUAAUCCCAGCACUUGAAAGGCAAAGGCAAACAGGCAAGUCUCUGUGAGUUCAAAAGACCAGCCUGUUCUACAUAGCAAAUUCCAGGCCACUCGGGGCUACAUAAUAAGAUUCUGUGUUAACGAAAACAAACAAAAAACAUUAUGACAAAAAACAUUAUGACAAGGACAUAUGGGUCCAUUUUCACUUUUCUCCAUAUCAUCAUUCUUAGAUAUCCCAACAUCAUUUUUUUUCAAAGAUGUAUUGAUAGUUAUGUGUAUCAGUGGAUCUCUGUGCACCACAUGCAUGCAAUGCCCAGGGAAGGCAGAAGAGGGCGUCAGAUCUCCCUAGGACUGGAGCUCUAGGUGGCUGCGAGGGGCAUGCCGGUGUUAGGAACAGAACCGAGUCCUCUGGAAGAGCAGCCAGCCUCUUAACUGCUGGGCUGUCUUGGCAGCCUCCCGCAUUAAUUAUUAAGUAGGUAUUUCCUUCACUCUACUAUUUACCAUCAGACUAAUUCUGGUUUGUCGUAUACUAAGUUACGCAAAGGCUUAAAAUUAAUGAAAUUUCUGUAUUAUGAUUUAUUAUUUAUUUCCUUCAUUGAUGUUCUUUGACAGAAAAAAAAAACCUACAAACACUUAAAAGAUAAAACGUCUUACCAACUAAUAUGUCUGAACUUUUUACUAUCAGCUGUUCAAGUACUAAAACAACACUAGAAAUAAAUUGAACAGACAUUUAAACUGA